rnacentral:rRNA from 1 species
AGUGGGGAAUAUUGGACAAUGGACCAAAAGUCUGAUCCAGCAAUUUUGUGUGCACGAUGAAGGUCUUCGGAUUGUAAAGUGCUUUCAGUUGGGAAGAAGAAAGUGACGGUACCAACAGAAGAAGCGACGGCUAAAUACGUGCCAGCAGCCGCGGUAAUACGUAUGUCGCAAGCGUUAUCCGGAUUUAUUGGGCGUAAAGCGCGUCUAGGCGGUUUUGUAAGUCUGAUGUGAAAAUGCGGGGCUCAACUCCGUAUUGCGUUGGAAACUGCAGAACUAGAGUACUGGAGAGGUGGGCGGAACUACAAGUGUAGAGGUGAAAUUCGUAGAUAUUUGUAGGAAUGCCGAUGGAGAAGUCAGCUCACUGGACAGAUACUGACGUUGAAGCGCGAAAGCGUGGGGAGCAAA